GAUGAACGCUAGCUACAGGCUUAACACAUGCAAGUCGAGGGGCAGCAUGGUCUUAGCUUGCUAAGACUGAUGGCGACCGGCGCACGGGUGAGUAACACGUAUCCAACCUGCCGUCUACUCUUGGACAGCCUUCUGAAAGGAAGAUUAAUACAAGAUGGCAUCAUGAGUCCGCAUGUUCACAUGAUUAAAGGUAUUCCGGUAGACGAUGGGGAUGCGUUCCAUUAGAUAGUAGGCGGGGUAACGGCCCACCUAGUCUUCGAUGGAUAGGGGUUCUGAGAGGAAGGUCCCCCACAUUGGAACUGAGACACGGUCCAAACUCCUACGGGAGGCAGCAGUGAGGAAUAUUGGUCAAUGGGCGCAGGCCUGAACCAGCCAAGUAGCGUGAAGGAUGACUGCCCUAUGGGUUGUAAACUUCUUUUAUAAAGGAAUAAAGUCGGGUAUGUAUACCCGUU
rnacentral:rRNA from 1 species